rnacentral:rRNA from 1 species
AGUGAACGCUGGCGGUAGGCCUAACACAUGCAAGUCGAACGGCAGCACAGUAAGAGCUUGCUCUUACGGGUGGCGAGUGGCGGACGGGUGAGGAAUACAUCGGAAUCUACUUUUUCGUGGGGGAUAACGUAGGGAAACUUACGCUAAUACCGCAUACGACCUACGGGUGAAAGCAGGGGAUCUUCGGACCUUGCGCGAUUGAAUGAGCCGAUGUCGGAUUAGCUAGUUGGCGGGGUAAAGGCCCACCAGGGCGACGAUCCGUAGCUGGUCUGAGAGGAUGAUCAGCCACACUGGAACUGAGACACGGCCCAGACUCCUACGGGAGGCAGCAGUGGGGAAUAUUGGACAAUGGGCGCAAGCCUGAUCCAGCCAUACCGCGUGGGUGAAGAAGGCCUUCGGGUUGUAAAGCCCUUUUGUGGGGAAAGAAAAGCAGCAGGUUAAAACCCCGCUGUUCUGACGGUACCCAAAGAAUAAGCACCGGCUAACUUCGU